CCUACGGGAGGCUGCAGUGGGGAAUAUUGGACAAUGGGGGGAACCCUGAUCCAGCCAUGCCGCGUGUGUGAAGAAGGCCCUCGGGUUGUAAAGCAUUUUCAGUGAGGAAGAACGCCUGGUGGUUAAUACCCAUCAGGAAAGACAUCACUCACAGAAGAAGCACCGGCUAACUCCGUGCCAGCAGCCGCGGUAAUACGGAGGGUGCGAGCGUUAAUCGGAAUUACUGGGCGUAAAGCGCGCGUAGGUGGCUUGAUAAGCCGGUUGUGAAAGCCCCGGGCUCAACCUGGGAACGGCAUCCGGAACUGUCAAGCUAGAGUGCAGGAGAGGAAGGUAGAAUUCCCGGUGUAGCGGUGAAAUGCGUAGAGAUCGGGAGGAAUACCAGUGGCGAAGGCGGCCUUCUGGACUGACACUGACACUGAGGUGCGAAAGCGUGGGUAGCAAACAGGAUUAGAUACCCCAGUAGUC
rnacentral:rRNA from 1 species